ACAAAAAGACAUGCAUCAUGAAGACUGGGGCUUGAAGAUUGACAAUCAUGAAGAUUGUCAAAGCACAACAUGCUAAAGACUUAAUUUUGGUUUAGAAACCAGGUUUCUUCUUCCUAGACAUUAAAACAUAUAAAACCAGAACAAAACAAAACAACCCUCAAAAAACUUCAGUAGUAAUUUACAAUCACGGAUUUUAUGGGUAAUGUACUCCUUGUGGGAGUUCAGAAUUACUUAGAAGAUUUGUAGACAAGAUUUUUAUGCUCUGUUUACAUUUUCUAGGAGCUUAAGAGAAAACAGUCUGAAAUAAGCUGCAGCUAACAUGCUACAGGAAAUGAAGGAAGGGAACCAGACUUCUCAGGAAAGAUUUACAUUUAUAUAAUGGUGAUGGCUAUAUUUUGGCUUAGAAAAAGGAAUGCAAUUGUUGUAAAAUACACAGAAAAGCUGUUGACUAGUGUUUCUCCUUACUUAGUGGAUCAUGAACCACUCCAACACUGUACACUGCAACAAAAUGCUUUUUAAGAGAGCUGUUUCACCAUUGCACGAUACUUUGUUUACAGACCAAAACAUCUUGCAUCAGCAAUUCCUCUCUGUAUGGCAACCAAAGAGACACUAAGCCAGCACAACCCUCGUCUAUGCCAAAUGUGUUGGUGCAGAACCCACCAGGACAUUUUCCAUGGUUUCCAUGGAGGAAGCAUUCAGUCUGUUGGUAAGCAGUAAUGCGUUCUUGGAAGUGUAACAUCAUCUUUUAUGAAAGAUGUCCACAGCACAUUGAUGGAAGAACCUGCAAUCAGUUUCUCACUACUUUGUAACAUUUCCAUUGGUGGGAAUCAGAGAUCCUUUGAGAGAGUCUGCACUAUACAUCUCUUUCUGGAGUUCUUACUCAUCUAUUUAGGAAGCAUCAAGUUUUGCAUACAUCAGCUAACUAGCUGAGAUGAAAAUAAACUGCAAAGAGAUAUAGUAUCAUAAAACCUCAUCUCAAGAAAGUACUUGUUAGGCCAUGAGAGAGACCUCUCUGACAAAGCUAAACAACACACAACACCUGUUUUCAGAACAUGACAAAGACUGUGAUGUGAGGUUUGAUUGAUCAGUACUUCAUGCUCAAAGAUGCUGUAUCUCAACUACAACUUUGAAAGGUCAAAGUUCCUUUGAGAAGAUAUACCCCGAAGGGAGAGCUGCAGGCCAGAGCCUAGAGAUGCUGAAGGUUUCAUGAGCUUCUGCCAGUACCCACUGUGAAGGCAAGUGCAACUGCAGCAGUCAUUCUCAAGCAGCAAAUUCAAUUCAUGGUAUCACAGCUAUCCUGAUGAAAAAUUAUUUACACAUUCACAUUCUACUGAUAUCAAUACGUACAAACAACAAAAGAAACCAUGUUUAAACAACUCCAGAAACAGAAACCACACCAAGUCUUGACUUUUCAACAACUAAAGGAGCAAAGCUGAGUACAGACCUCUGAACUAUUUGCUGCACAAAAACUCCCCUUAUUGCUGGCAGGUCUUUUCACUGGCACACAAAGAAGUCAGUA